rnacentral:lncRNA from 1 species
UAGAUGUUGAAAUGAUGUUGCCUGAAGAAAAGAUGUGUUUGAGGAGAAGUGCAGAAGUCAACCCUCUGAUUAAGAGAAAGUACUGGGUCAAACUCCCACCCCAAGAACAUGGGAUUAAGAAGACGCAGUGCCGGCUGUAUUGCCAGCUCCGCGCCGCGUGUCAAUAAAACUCUGAGGUUCAUCACGUUUCAUUCGCUGACAAGCGUGGCCUUCCAAUUCAUCUCUGAGCUGCCGCUUCCCACUCAGCAUGAAAUCGGACCCACCAAAAAGCAAUUUCAGCUCUCGCUUCUGGCAAGGUUUCCAGUUUUGAGGCAGAGCUCUGGCACGGGGCAGCCUGGUGGUCAGGGAAGGAGAGGGGAAAUGACAUGCAGUUUACAAAGAAAGAAAGGUCAUAAAAUAAUUAUAAAGUACAUUUAAAACUUUUGCUAGCCCACGUCGGCUUAAGCCUCAUCGCUCUUCAUCACUGGAGCAGGCGAUGCUCAGGCCUCUGUAGCAGUGGGCUGCGUUUACACAAAGUUGACCUCUGCUAGCCAGGGUGGGCUCCGAGGGCGCUUUCCACACCCCAACACAGGCGCCUGCUUUUUCCCCCUCAUAGAUCCCUAUCCCCUUUGUUUCCUCUCUUCCAUCUGAAAGAGCUUGGGAGCUCCUUUAAAAUUUUGAGGGAGCCAGUUAUUAUUUCAAUCUCAAAAUGUAAUGUCAUCCAGAACAAGACACUUUAUCAUGAAAUUAUAAUGACACGACGCUUCGUAAUUCAUCACGUGCUUUAUUUGCCGAUUCAUUAAUUAAUC